AGUCACUGACAUUAGACUACCCCUGUAGUCCCAGCCGUAAACUAUGCGCGUUAGGUGUACUGGUGACCACGAGUCGACCGGGGUGGCGAAGGGAAACCGUGAAACGUGCCGCCUGGGAAGUACGGUCGCAAGGCUGAAACUUAAAGGAAUUGGCGGGGAGCACCACAACGGGUGGAGCCUGCGGUUUAAUUGGACUCAACGCCGGAAAUCUCACCGGAUAGGACAGACAUAUGAUAGUCGGGCUGAAGACUCUACUUGAUGAUCUG
rnacentral:rRNA from 1 species